rnacentral:misc_RNA from 1 species
CCGAGUUUACAACUCCCAAACCCUUUGUGAACCUUACCUACGUUGCUUCGGCGGGGCCCCCGCGGUCCCGCCGACGGCCAACCAAACUCUUGUUUUGUCAGUGGUUUCUCUCUGAGUGGCACAAGCAAAUAAAUUA